rnacentral:tRNA from 1 species
GGAGUGAUAGCUCAAGUGACAGAGUACAUGCUUUGCAUGCGCAGGGUCCUGGGUUCAAUCCCCAGUACCUCCU